rnacentral:tRNA from 1 species
GCCAGCGUAGCUCAGUUGGUAGAGCGGCGCACUCGUAAUGCGCAGGUAACCAGUUCGAUCCUGGUCGCUGGCU